CCUACGGGAGGCUGCAGUAGGGAAUUUUGCUCAAUGGGGGAAACCCUGAAGCAGCAACGCCGCGUGGAGGAUGAAGGUUUUCGGAUUGUAAACUCCUUUUGUUAGAGAAGAUAAUGACGGUAUCUAACGAAUAAGCACCGGCUAACUCCGUGCCAGCCGCCGCGGUAAUACGGAGGGUGCAAGCGGUACUCGGAAUCACUGGGCGUAAAGAGCGCGUAGGCGGGAUAGCAAGUCAGAUGUGAAAUCCUAGGGCUUAACCAUAGAACUGCAUUUGAAACUGUUAUUCUAGAGUAUGGGAGAGGUAGGUGGAAUUCUUGGUGUAGGGGUAAAAUCCGUAGAGAUCAAGAGGAAUACUCAUUGCGAAGGCGACCUGCUAGAACAUAACUGACGCUGAUGCGCGAAAGCGUGGGGAGCAAACAGGAUUAGAUACCCCUGUAGUC
rnacentral:rRNA from 1 species